UCAGCCAAGCCGGGAGAGGACAGCAGCCCCAGCUGUCAACUUCACCGUAAUCUCUGAAGAGACUGAGCCAGACCCACCCAGCUGAGGCAUCCGAGACUCCAGACCCUCACACACUGUGAGACCAUUAUUUAUAUAUGUAUAUGUGUGUGUAUAUAUCAUAUAUCAUAUAUAUAUAAUCAUAUAUACGAGCGUAUCAUCUAUACUACAUUCCUCUCUGUUCUGUACUUUCCUUUGUUUUCGCCUAACGUUAUAUUUUGCUUUCUUUUUAUUACCAUGGUUUCUCAUACUUUAAACAACUAUAUAAUAUUCCAUUCUAUAAAUUUGCCAUAAUUUAUUUAACCGGUCCACCACUGAUAGGCAGUUUGUCUUCAGUCUUUUGCUACUGUGAUAGGGUGAGUAAACACAUGUCAACAGCUUAAUCCCCCGAACCUGUGAAUGUGUCCCCUUUCGUGACCAAACGGGCUCUGCAGCUGUGAUUAAGUUAAGGGUGGCGGAAAGGGGAGAGUAGCCUGUAUUACCCAGGUGGCCCCCAUGUAACCAAUCACAAGAGUCCUUUUUUUUAAAAGGGAGGCAGGAGCUCUAGAGUCAGGAUGAAGGUGUGAGCGGCGCUUCGGGUGAUAGAAGGUUGGAACCAGAGAAUGUGGGUAUCCCCCGGAAGCUGGAAAAGGCUCGGAAAUGUACUCUCCCCUAGAACCUCCGGAAAGAACAAGCCUUUGAUUUUAGCUUGGCGAGACCCAUUGUGGACUUCUGGCCUCCAGAGCUGUAAGCAGUUGAAAAACCCUAAUUUCUUUGAACGAGCUAAUUAUUACUACGUACUCCUCAUCUGCACACCAUAUUUAGAAUCUCCGUCAGAGACAGGGGUACAACAGGAUGAAGCCUUUUAAGAGAAACCCAUGACUUCUGUCCUCUUGUCAUUCUGAAUCGGUGGCAGUUAAUACCCCACGAAGACUCUGAAGAUAGACUGGCUCUUCUCCAUCCUUUUCUGAUCGCGUGUGCCCACUUUCUGAUGGUCUCUUAUUCCACGCGAGAC